rnacentral:misc_RNA from 1 species
GAUGAAGAACGCAGCGAAAUGCGAUAAGUAGUGUGAAUUGCAGAAUUCAGUGAAUCAUCGAAUCUUUGAACGCACAUUGCGCCCCAUGGUAUUCCGUGGGGCAUGCCUGUUCGAGCGUCAUUUACCCCCUCAAGCUCCGCUUGGUGUUGGGCGUCUGUCCCGCUUCGCGCGCGGACUCGCCCCAAAGGUAUUGGCAGCGGUCGUGCCAGCUUCUCGCGCAGCACAUUGCGCUUCUCGAGGCACCGGUGGGCCCGCGUCCAUCAAGCUCCCCCCCCCAGUUUGACCUCGGAUCAGGUAGGGAUACCCGCUGAACUUAAGCAUAUCAAUAAGCGGAGGA